rnacentral:rRNA from 1 species
GAUGAACGCUGGCGGCGUGCCUAAUACAUGCAAGUCGAGCGAACAGAUAAGGAGCUCGCUCCUUUGACGUUAGCGGCGGACGGGUGAGUAACACGUGGGUAACCUACCUAUAAGACUGGGAUAACUUCGGGAAACCGGAGCUAAUACCGGAUAACAUUUGGAACCGCAUGGUUCUAAAGUGAAAGAUGGUUUUGCUAUCACUUAUAGAUGGACCCGCGCCGUAUUAGCUAGUUGGUAAGGUAACGGCUUACCAAGGCAACGAUACGUAGCCGACCUGAGAGGGUGAUCGGCCGCACUGGAACUGAGACACGGUCCAGACUCCUACGGGAGGCAGCAGUAGGGAAUCUUCCGCAAUGGGCGAAAGCCUGACGGAGCAACGCCGCGUGAGUGAUGAAGGGUUUCGGCUCGUAAAACUCUGUUAUUAGGGAAGAACAAACGUGUAAGUAACUGUGCACGUCUUGACGGUACCUAAUCAGAAAGCCACGGCUAACUACGUG